rnacentral:rRNA from 1 species
CCCGAUGCAAACUGCGAAUACCGGAGAAUGUUAUCACGGGAGACACACGGCGGGUGCUAACGUCCGUCGUGAAGAGGGAAACAACCCAGACCGCCAGCUAAGGUCCCAAAGUCAUGGUUAAGUGGGAAACGAUGUGGGAAGGCCCAGACAGCCAGGAUGUUGGCUUAGAAGCAGCCAUCAUUUAAAGAAAGCGUAAUAGCUCACUGGUCGAGUCGGCCUGCGCGGAAGAUGUAACGGGGCUAAACCAUGCACCGAAGCUGCGGCAGCGACGCUGAUGCGUUGUUGGGUAGGGGAGCGUUCUGUAAGCCUGUGAAGGUGUGCUGUGAGGCAUGCUGGAGGUAUCAGAAGUGCGAAUGCUGACAUAAGUAACGAUAAAGCGGGUGAAAAGCCCGCUCGCCGGAAGACCAAGGGUUCCUGUCCAACGUUAAUCGGGGCAGGGUGAGUCGACCCCUAAGGCGAGGCCGAAAGGCGUAGUCGAUGGGAAACAGGUUAAUAUUCCUGUACUUGGUGUUACUGCGAAGGGGGGACGGAGAAGGCUAUGUUGGCCGGGCGACGGUUGUCCCGGUUUAAGCGUGUAGGCUGGUUUUCCAGGCAAAUCCGGAAAACUAAGGCUGAGGCGUGAUGACGAGGCACUACGGUGCUGAAGCAACAAAUGCCCUGCUUCCAGGAAAAGCCUCUAAGCAUCAGGUAACAUCAAAUCGUACCCCAAACCGACACAGGUGGUCAGGUAGAGAAUACCAAGGCGCUUGAGAGAACUCGGGUGAAGGAACUAGGCAAAAUGGUGCCGUAACUUCGGGAGAAGGCACGCUGAUAUGUAGGUGAAGUCCCUCGCGGAUGGAGCUGAAAUCAGUCGAAGAUACCAGCUGGCUGCAACUGUUUAUUAAAAACACAGCACUGUGCAAACACGAAAGUGGACGUAUACGGUGUGACGCCUGCCCGGUGCCGGAAGGUUAAUUGAUGGGGUCAGCGCAAGCGAAGCUCUUGAUCGAAGCCCCGGUAAACGGCGGCCGUAACUAUAACGGUCCUAAGGUAGCGAAAUUCCUUGUCGGGUAAGUUCCGACCUGCACGAAUGGCGUAAUGAUGGCCAGGCUGUCUCCACCCGAGACUCAGUGAAAUUGAACUCGCUGUGAAGAUGCAGUGUACCCGCGGCAAGACGGAAAGACCCCGUGAACCUUUACUAUAGCUUGACACUGAACAUUGAGCCUUGAUGUGUAGGAUAGGUGGGAGGCUUUGAAGUGUGGACGCCAGUCUGCAUGGAGCCGACCUUGAAAUACCACCCUUUAAUGUUUGAUGUUCUAACGUUGACCCGUAAUCCGGGUUGCGGACAGUGUCUGGUGGGUAGUUUGACUGGGGCGGUCUCCUCCUAAAGAGUAACGGAGGAGCACGAAGGUUGGCUAAUCCUGGUCGGACAUCAGGAGGUUAGUGCAAUGGCAUAAGCCAGCUUGACUGCGAGCGUGACGGCGCGAGCAGGUGCGAAAGCAGGUCAUAGUGAUCCGGUGGUUCUGAAUGGAAGGGCCAUCGCUCAACGGAUAAAAGGUACUCCGGGGAUAACAGGCUGAUACCGCCCAAGAGUUCAUAUCGACGGCGGUGUUUGGCACCUCGAUGUCGGCUCAUCACAUCCUGGGGCUGAAGUAGGUCCCAAGGGUAUGGCUGUUCGCCAUUUAAAGUGGUACGCGAGCUGGGUUUAGAACGUCGUGAGACAGUUCGGUCCCUAUCUGCCGUGGGCGCUGGAGAACUGAGGGGGGCUGCUCCUAGUACGAGAGGACCGGAGUGGACGCAUCACUGGUGUUCGGGUUGUCAUGCCAAUGGCACUGCCCGGUAGCUAAAUGCGGAAGAGAUAAGUGCUGAAAGCAUCUAAGCACGAAACUUGCCCCGAGAUGAGUUCUCCCUGACUCCUUGAGAGUCCUGAAGGAACGUUGAAG